rnacentral:lncRNA from 1 species
AUGAAUAAAGAAAACGAAAAUGAGAAAAAAAAGAAAAAACUUCAGCACUUUACUUGUGCAGAUAUAAGCAAAAAAGAAAUGAGAAGAAUAAUAAUAACAACUAAUAGAAAGAAACAAAGAAAAAUGUUAAAUGAACAACUAAAAAUGAAUUUUAAUAUAGCAUGUGAUAGAGAGGUUGUUGAAAAUAGAACUAAUGGUAACCAAAUUGUUGAAAGCAAUAGUAGAAAAAUGAAAGUAUGUAUUGAUAAUUUUUUACCUAUAGGUACAAGUAAUGAAAAAAAUAAAACAGAACAUUAUAAUAAAUAUAAUUUAUAUAAACUAGACGAACAUUUAACACAUGAUAUGAAUAAAUUAAAAAUAAAACAAAUGAAAAAAAUAAUUACUGAUUUUUUUUACAACAUAUUAAUUUAUUGUAUUAAUAAAAAUAUAUCUAUAAUUGAAAUAUCAACUUUUUUGUCAAUCAAAAAAUACAUUUUUAUAAAAUUUAUAACUAGUUAUAUAGAUAUAACAAAUCUUUUUUUAGAAUUUAAAAAUAUUAUGUUAAAUCAUUCAAUAAAUAGAUCACCAUAUUAUGUAAAAGUUUUUUCAUAUUCUUCUUUAAAAUUGUUAAUAACAUAUUCAUUAAAAACCUUUUUUAAAAAUUUCUCUUUGUAUAAAUUUAUUUUUAAUCCUUAUUAUAAAAUCAAUUUCAAUUAUGAUAAACAAAAUUCACUUGUUUUUAACAUUAUCGACGAUACUAAUUAUGACGAUGAUAAUAUUUAUUAUGAUUUAAAUAUGCCCAGUAGUGUUGACCAUAUGAAGUUGUUAAUUUCACUCAACGUAGGCAGCUUGAACCAUAUAAACCCAAUUGAAAAUGAAGAAAUUAAUUUCAAAAAUAAGAUAAAAGAAUAUUUCGAUGAGUUUAACAUAAAAAAUGAUCCUAUUGUUUUUGUAAUAAAUAAAUAUACAAAAAAUAGAAAUCUAAGUAAACUGUUUGAAAACAUAAAAAGAAAUACUACUGAAGACAUAAACCUAGUAGAAGACAAUAAAAAAACGGAAAAUGCAACCGACACUAUUUUCUUGAAAAAAAAGCAAUUAAUGAAUAAAGUUAAUAAUAUGUAUGCUGAUUUAGAAAAACGUGUUUUAUUACGUAUAAAUACAUUUUUAACUAAUGAUGAUUAGGAACUAAGAUAAAAACAUAAGUAAAAAAAAAAAAAUAAACAUUUAUAAGAAUUCGGAGUAUAAUCA